UUUUAUUUUCCGCCUGUUUUAACGCAUUCAGUAAGUUAUAUCUAGCUGUUGUCUGUCCUCGCGGCAGCUGAUCGCUUUUACCGACAAAUGCAGCAGCGCGCAGUGUCCUCCGGCAAACGGCCGCGUGUGUAACGCUGGCGUGCCUAACAGAAACCUCUCCAGGCGCUUUCUGAAAACAAGGGUGUGUCCUCGGUUAAAGGCCAUUUUAGGCGGACAACCUCAUUUGUAUUCUGUUGAUAAAAUAUGCCUGGCAAUCGAUUAUCUACAUAAAUUAUCUUCGCGGUUCUGUGACUUAUAGCAUAUCACGUAUACUGGGGCCUGUAUUCUGUCAGGAUCGCUGUGUAUACCACAGACCAGGGUAGUGAUCGGAUAUAAAAGGUUUUUCUCGAUAUUUGUUAUUAUUGACUGCAGUAUGAAAACUACCUCCUUGACCACUCCCGAUAAAAUGACAAAAACGACUCAUGAUCUUCAAAUAAUGUCACAGCUGAAAUACAGGAUAUAAUUCUCCGUAGUUUGGCUACUCAUUUGUGCUCAAAGUGGGGCCACAAAUCUUUCAUUGUUAUUGUUAAUUUAGUGAUAUUGUAAUCCCUCACAGUGUUUUGUGUGCAAUCAAAUUUAAAUAACAGUAGAGUGAAUGACAGCACCACCCCACCCCCCAUUAUUCCUGUACUUGUUUAUACAUCUAUAGCACUGGUUGAAGUCUUAACAUUUGUUACACAUUUUCCUUAUAUUUCAUUUAUUUCUGUGUUGGCAUUAUUUCACUCAACUGGUGAACUUGAGCUCCAAUGACCUGGAGCAUUUUUCUGUUCAAUUUUCGUAGCUCUAAAAACAUAUUUGAAAAAUAUUUACUUCUAUAAUGAUAAACAGUAUUUCUGCUUGAGGCAAUUCGGGCGUUGUGUUUAACUGAGCUGGUGUUCCACUGCUUAAUUAAGAUAACUUCAUCUUACUUAGCUUCAGUGAAGAGAUGCGCUAUGUUUGAGGGAUGCAGCUUCCUGACUGCGAAAAAUGUUUUUGUUGUUUUUUCAGUUACCAUUAAAUUUUUUUUAAAAGCUCAUUUUUAAAAGAUCUGUUUUGUUCUUAACAGAAUUCUUUAUAUUUUAUUUUUGCAGUAACUUCUUACAAGUCACAGAACCCCAAAAUGAGUCAACACAAUAAGCUUGAUCUUCAAAGUUAAAGCAUGACUUGAAUUUCCAUCAUAUUCAGACUCAGAACUUUUGUGCCGAGUUGCAUCACGUUAGGAUUUUAUUUUGUCUGUCGUAUGCCCUAGUAAUAUCACCCAGAACCUACAAAUCAGUAUCUCAAAAAACGGGAAAGGGCGAUCGUUCAGGCUGUAAAAGUACAAAUUCUCCUCAGGAGCUUGUCAAACCCGAUCAAGCAUUUUCUUGUGUUUGUAAACCAAACAGUCUAUCUUGUAAACAGAUGACAGCGCGUAACUGGUGACAGAAAGUCACAACGUGGCGGUGUUUAGUGUCAGAUUAUAGGAAUAUGGAUUAUACGGACGCCCUCUCGAGUUAAUGGUUUGCCAUCAGAAUACACGGUGGUACACAACCAGUCGUGAUCGACAGAUUGAUCUCCUAUAUCGGUCAUAUUAGCCGUGUAAUGUAACAUGACUGCCGUAGCCAUUUACAAUACCUGCGUCCUUUUCACUUGUGCUUGUUGUAGAUAGCUAGCUACUUAUUUAUGAUUAUUUAAACUAUUCUCUUUCUCUAAUUAAAGUUGAGUAAAAAAUGGCUGGUAAGUUACAGUGGCCGGAUAUCUUCAUUCACUUUGUGGAAAAAUCCAGGGUCUAUAUGAAAGAAAAUGUAAGGCAUAAAUUACUAAUUUUGUUCCAUACUAUUUUAACCUUAGCGGGCUACCCAAGAGAUUUUUUGGAUGAUUUUUGCAUAUUAUGGAUCGACGUACUAUCCAGUGACAAAGGACAGAAAAUGCAGCUAUACAAGGGCUAUCAACUAUACUGACGGCGAACUGAAUUUACAUGGCCAUAUUAUCUAAAUAGCCAACUCUUUUUCAUUGUGUAAUGUAGGCCUAUGUUGGAACAAUGUAAUUAACUAGAACUACUAGAACAUUAUUAUAUACAUAUAGAUGGUAGUGGGAAUAGUAGUUCUAUUCCCACUACCAUCUAUAUGUAUAUAAUAAUGUUAUUUAUAGUUAUAGGUCUAUUUCAUGCUGUAAGGCUAAUGUAGGGAUAAUAAAAAAAAGUGUCAGUUAGCUUCCAAACAUUUGUAUUUUGCCUUACCCUCUUCGGUGAUGGUAUUCUAUCAAAAUUAAGGUCAUUUGUUUUUUUUUCAUUCCUAUUCUAGAACUCGAAGCAGUGACGUAACCAUGACGAAUAGGUUUAUUAAGACCUCCAAAUAGGUCUAUUAAGUAGUACCACAUCUGUUGAGAGACUGCCCCCAAAAAGAAAAAUUUAUUUAUCAAUUACUGUGUAAUUUUAACCAUUCAAUUAAAAAUUGCAUAUAGAAAGAGGAUAAAUACUCAGUCAACCAUUCAAGUUGGUAGGCCUAGGUCGAACCUACUGAGCAGAGAGCACAAGCAAGUCAAAGUACAGCGUUCUGGAUUUUACCAAGAAAUGAGCAACGUCUCGCUGGAAGUCACUUUUGUAAGUAAGUUACUGAAUGACUAACAUUUUACCAUCAGUAAAGAAUAAUGAACAAAAUUUGUUACUUACAACUGGACAACGAUACCCGAGCAAUGUAAAUUAAAAUGCUAUUUCUGUAAACCGCUUUAGCUAACCAGCUAGCUAACUAGUUUUGUACAAUUAUCUAGCUAGCUAGCUGACUUAGAUGUUCUUGUUUUCAGUCAUAAUGUGCUAUGUUACACACAUUCUAUUGUCAUCAAAGAUCUGUGCCACUUGACAAAUUUGACAAAAACAGCUUUUAUGUGUUACGGGAUGCGACCCCCGCCCCCUCAAGUCACGAAGGUACGGCCUGCAGCGUGCUGGGGGGGGGGGGGGGGGUGUUUCACAUGUGUAGCCACGCCCUCUGUGAUGGCACACACCUGCGCGGGGUUCAGCGUUCUGUCUAUUUAAAGCCCCGUCUGUGUGUGCCUCGUAGUUGGUCAUUGUUGAUGUCGUUUAUGUUAACGCUGCCUAGGUUGUUGUCACGGUUAGUGUUUAAACUGUGUGUUCAUGUUCAUCGUUGUCACUAUGUGUGAGUGCUGCCGUUAUUGUAUAUGUUUUAUGUUAUUAAAUGUCUCAUUACGUCAAGGGAGUCUGUGCGUCCUGUGGCCGCACUGUGCGGCCACGCCCUGCGGCUGCGCCCUGCGGCACUUGGGCUGCCAUUACAGAAUGACCAACCACCACAGGACACAAGCUCCCUUGGCGAAGGACGGACUUCCUAAGGGGAAGUGGAGGGGAACACUGCUGAGGCUACUGUGCCCCACAAGGACCGUAAAGAGGGCAAUUUGGUGGAGCCAGUGGGAUCUCCGGUGGGCAGGGCUGAAACCCGAGUUCCUUCCCUUCUGUGGAGUCACCAGCAAGACUGGAGGGGUCUGCCCAGAGCCUCUGAAGCAAACCGCCUCUGGGACACUCCUAGAGUGGCUGGAAGAAGGAGGACCGUUCGGGGGAGGAGCAUGACCGGAACUGGGGCGGGCGUGCACUCCCAUGUCUCCGUUGGGGCCAGGGACACGUUUACAGCACUUGCGCUGAUAGCAGGCACUGCAGCCCAGCGCCUUAUGUGUUUGUGUGGAGGCACUUCUCUUUGUGUAUAUUUGCGCCUUUUGUGUGUUUGCAGGGACAGCGUCACGUUGCGAAGAGUGUACCGGACUGCCCUGAAGGAGGCAGAGAUCCUGCCUUCCUCCCUCCUGUUGAGAGGUCUUCCGGGGUUGGCGGUUCCUAGCCCGUCUUGUGUUGGGUGGGCACCGGACAUUGCCGUGCUCUGUUUGUUUGUACACGGUGGCCUGGGGCUCGCAGUCCUGGGAAAUAUGCGUCCGGAGCUGUGCCCCUUGGGAGGGGGUUCUGUCACGGGUUCCUGUUCCGCACCCUGCGGCACACGGGCUGCCGUUACAUUAUGACAUCUUGUGAUGUUGGAAUAAUCAUUUAUAAUGUUUUUGUAUGGUGAAUAUUUAUGAAGUGGGACACUUAAGCUUGAUCCACAGUUUCUUCAUGUACUUGUUUUUUACUGAUCGAAACCUAUUGUUUAAUUAAUCUUUGGGAUGUCAGGGAUUAGAUGGUUAAAGCUAUGUAGAUAUGAUUUCAUUUUCAGGGGCAUGGCCGCAACCACUUAAAAAUCAAGAGCAUAAGAAGCUAUGAUAAUUGAAAUGACAUAACAAUCUGAGGUAAAUGAUGUUAAGGGUAAGAAAAGCUAAAGAUUGAUUUAGUGUUUUUAAAUUUUAUACAUAUGAAAGGUGACUGAACAGUACCAGAAAAUAAAAUAAAAAAAUGUUUUUCUUGUAAAUAACUUUUUAGGGGGUACAUUUUCUUCUGUCCCACACCAUAUUUGUUAAAGUUGAAUAGUAAAUUAAUGGUAUUACUCCUUCCAAAACUUGGUUUGACUUUGACCUUUGUACAUAUAUUGUGUAAAUACUUUAAAUUAACAGUUCUUGUAAUGAAUCAGACUGGCUCUACUCAAGUUGCCACGCCCAGGUAGUUGAUUUCCGAAUAGAGCUGAAGACAGCACAGAUCUGAUUCUCUGGAAUAUUAACCUGUUUCCUAUAUCUCCACUCAUCAAGCAUGAUAUCACUCCCACAACCUUGCUGCGAAGUAUUGGCAAUGGUAUGCUAAGUGCUGUCUUCUGUGUAUUCCUACUGUUAACAACCAGUCAUGACACAUCAAAGCAGUCCUGACACAGCUAAAGCAGAGAAGUGUGAGUUUCACCAAGAAUCAGUAAACGUCCUAGGAUGUACAGGCUCACCCGGCAGGAUCUUAACAGACUCCAAUAAGGUCUCUGGAGAAUUGGCCUGUUCCUACAUCUGUUAAAGAGCCCCAAAGAUUGUUGGGCUUCGCAGAGGUUCAUUAGAGACUUUGGUACUAUCACUGUCCUUUUUACAGACUUGCUCUAGAACCAAAGCUAAGGUAGAUUGAUGUAGAACCCUAUUUGAGGACGAAUGAGCGUUUCACUAUUUAAAGAAAGUUUUGAAUGCUCUAAUUCUGCACCAGUCUGACUGUUCCUUGCCUUUCAUUCAAGGAAGUUGACACAUCUGAGAUCGGGGUGAGAGCUGUGCUCUCCCAGAGACAGGGCUUAGCUCCCAAGCUAUACUCGAUGUCUUUUCCUUUCCAAGAAACUCCAAGCAGCAGAAUACAAUUACAAUGUGGGUAACAGCAAACGCCUGGCCGUUAAACUAGCACUAGAGCAGUGGACACACUGUCUUGCGGGAGCAAGACAUCCAUUGCUAGUUUUGACUGACCAUAAGAAUUUUGAGUACUUAAAAGCAGCAAAAAGGUUAAACCCUAGGCAAGCUAAAUGGGUCUUCUUUUUCUGGUAUUUUCAGUUCAUGGUUUCCUAUAGACCUGGUUCUCAAAACCAGAAGACAGAUUUCCAUGACAUUUAUAUGUCUUUAGCAUAAACGGCUUGCCAGAAGAGAUUGUCUCAGAUUAAAGUUCUCAGGUCACAUUCGAUGUGUGGAAACAAUUCUGCAAGUGUCUAGGAGUCAGAGUGAACUUGUCAUCUAGGCACCAUCCACAAUCUAUUGGGGAAGUCAAAAGAACAAAGCAAGAAUCAGGAAUCUCUGGCAUUACUGCUCCUCACAGGCGAAUUGGCACAAGUAUCUACCCUGGGAUGAGUAUGCGAUAAACUCAUUUACUCUUCCUCAAAACUCACCCCCUUCCAGUGUGUCUGUGAAUAUCAGCCAGAAUUUUUACCCUGGGAAGAGACUGCCAUGGACAUCCCCGCCUUAGACCACUGCUUUAAGAAGUGUGAGGAAACCAGGGAGGCUGUGCACGUUCAGCUGAACAGGGCAGUGUGAUGCCAGCAGGAGUUCGCCAACCGACACUGUUGCCCUGCUUCAACAUAACAUCCAGGCCGGGGGGUGUGGGUGUCUACACUGAACAUGCGAUUCCAAUUCCAGGGCUAGAAGCUUCAUCCUCAUUACGUGGACCCUUCAGAGUGGUGGCACAAAUCUCUCCAGUAUAUUAUUUUGUUCAAAUCCCCCAGGCAUUUCUCUGUGAAUCCCACAUUCCAUGUCUCCCUUCUGGAUUGGUUUAAAAUCUGAUUGCUAGUGUCUGAUCCUUGAAUUGUUCUACUUGUGAGUAAACUUGACUGUGAUUGUAUCCAAACUCUCGUCUGAUUCUGUAACGAUUCUGCUGGCCUGAGUACUGAAGGGCAUGGAGCAGGAUGCACAGACUCCCUCGAUAAAGUGAUACAUUUAUUAAAAUAACAUAUGAAUAACA